CCCUUCACACGUGCAGACAAAGAGAUCCAACAACACAACCAAAAUACUCUUGUCUAACUUUUUCUUUUUUAACCAACCAGAACAGAUUUACAGGAUUGCUUUGAAUGUAGAGAUCUGGUCAUCUAUUGUAGAUUGUUCUUCUAUCUGGAGUUGAACAGUAGCUUGUAGACUUGUUUUACAGAAAAGUUGUACUUGCAGAGAGUUGGUGCGCCAGCUUGCAAAGUUAAGCACAAAGCUGAGAGGAGAGUUCCUUUGUUCUACGCCGUGCUUUGAAAGGGAGAUCAGGGAAGGAUCACAACAAUUAUCAUUUACUCCUACUGCUCUUAAAUGCUUUAGAGACCGUGGUAAAAGGAUCGAAAUCGUACAUUUUCAGGAUUUUGUGCACCUGUUCAGGAAGAAAACAAAACAGAUAUGUCGAUGAUCAACAAGGCAUAUAUUUAUCAGCGGAUUUACAGAAAUCAUCUUUUUAUUCUCAGAAAGACACCCAACUUGAAUCUAUCUUCCUGGAAAAAUCUAUGCGGAAUUGUGUGCAAGGAUCGUUCAUUGCUCAUUUUGAUAAUGCCAGCACCGGAAUGCUAACCAUGGGAAUUAUACACACUUUUGGGAUUACAACUCUGCACUUCAAAACGUUUUCAUUCAUUUUGAAAUUGGGAUUAAAAUAUACAUUGUUUGGAAUACUUAUUUUGGGGGAACCUUCGGUUCAGUAUCAGCACAUUUAGACAUAUCUUUGGAGACUGAGAUUUCAACAGGAAUAAAAGAUUUACCGUGCCUGACAGUGCAGACCUCAGUGCAGGUGAUCAGGGAGGCAGGCCGAGCACUACAGGACAUCUGGUGAGGCAAACAGCUCACCAAUUCCCAAGCCUCAUCGUCUCCAAAAAGCACAAGGCAGUGUUUCAGCAGUGCAGAUUGUGCAAUGCGGGUUCUGGUCACCGACAUCAGCAGGACGAGUCAAGAAGGUUUCAGCAAGGUCUUGAAUAGCAAACCGUGUUUCAGCAAGCCUGCCCACAUCCUCUGCCCACGAGUGAGAAGCAGUUUACCCAGAAAACCACAGAGGAAACACUUGCAUGUUUACAGCUGGAGCAGCCGAAUGGUGCUCACAUCACAUGACCUAUAGGGCCUGCCAAUGAAAAUGAGCUCAUCGCCAAAUCUGGGUGCACUACAUCUUAUGACCUGUCAUAAAUGUUAAAAAUAUUACGUUGUCCCUGUCAAAUAAAUAAAUAAGUGUUGAUAAUUUGCAGUGACAACAGUAUUUUGCUGGUUACUAAUUAGUGGUGUAAUGAUACACUCAUGUCACAAUACGCUACAUAUUGUGUCAUGUAGGUUGCGAUAUGAUAAGUAUCACAAUACAUCUGAUGGUCCUGAUGCGCUACUUUUAAGAUGCACAAUAUUUUGUUACAAGACAAAAAAUAAAUGAGUGAGGGAGAGUAUGUAUUUAUACCAACUAUUAAAAACACGUAGUCUUCAUUCAAGAACCACUUGGUGAACUGUAAUGAGCAAUGUUGUGCUUUUGGUCUUGUAUCAUGCUACAAAUGAUACAUACAUCUAUGAUACAAUAUGCAAUAACUUGUAAAGAAAGUAUCAUGAUUCAUCGACACACAGUGAAUUGUGUACACCCCUAAUGCCAAUACUUAAUCAAUACCUGACAUAUGGCAACAAAAUUAAUUUUAUAAAGAUGCCACCAAUGAGCUUUAUUAGUAUACAACUACCAUGCUUAGUAAAACAUCAAAUAAUAAAAUAAAAAAAUGCAGAAAACAAAGGUCUGCUGUUCUGUGUUCUCAAUUUCUGCCAUGUUGCCUUUUAAUCUCUCUUAAUGUCUUUAUUUUGCAUUUUGGAAUAAGUAGUUAGUUAAAAUUCAAAAGGAAACAAUGAUAUACAAAUGUGCUGAAAACUGAAAAUAAGUGGUUUAGGUGAAUUAUGUAAAUGAUGGCAGAUAACAGGCAACAAGCAGAAAGUGUUACUAAAAGAAACAAUAUAAAAUUGUAACACAAAUCAAUCAGACAGAGGUCUACUGUUGCUUCACAAGGCAAUUUCAGGAGGGAGCUUCAUUUUCUUCCUGUAUAUUGCUUUAGAAUCCAGAUUUAAAGGCAUAUAGAAUAUUCAUUGACACAAGACACAAAAUGCACACCACCAACCUGAAAGCAAAUCUCAGAUGUUCACACAGUUUGGGGAAAAAUGUGGUUUCACUAAAGGAAAGAUUCCUUGGAAACUUUUUAGAAGUUGGCUGCAAAUCUAAGAGCAGCUAAAGAUGGUAUUUUAGCAGGUUUAUUUAUAACCCUGAACUUUUUAAGGGAUUCUAUAAAUGCAGCUGUGCUGAAGUCAUUGGUUAGCCUUAUUGUUUUUAUUGUAUGUGACCCAUACUCUCAGACUGCAGCUAUUUACAGCAACUAAACCCAGGGCGUGCUAAAUGUAAAAACAAAGGGCCCCUUUUCCCUUGUGUAGGUCAGCAAAAAGUCAUUAACUGUGACAUAACAAACAAGUACAAACAAUCCUGUCUGCUCCAAAUGAAAACAAAAAAUGCUGGUGUUCAGACUACAGUGCACUGUAUUAUUUGUAAGUGGGAUUUAUGCUGGCGGGUGGGUAUGAACUAAGAGGAAAAAAAUCAAUGGGAUCUGGCAGGUAGUCAAUCUCUGAUUGAAUGUGGAUCUUACUCUGCUUAAGAGACAGAUAUUCCUGACACAUUCAAUCUCUAGUAAAAGUGGUGUUGCUCGCAACUGAAGCCCAAUUUAAAUUAGAUGAAGUCAAGGUAAAUUGCCUGACUUACCACUAAAUAACCUUCAGUCCAUCCAUCGUCAGGGUGGAGAGUGGAAAUGACUGAUGGAUAAAUGGGUCAGGUUUUGGCAUGAGUGUUUUCUUUUUAUAGAUAGUGGAUUCCCAGGCCUUAAUGGAGGUGGAGGUAAAAAAAAAAAGUAUUCACCCCAGGAUGACAUAAUUAGGGCUUCUGGUUUUAACCGAUAAAACCCCCAAUACACACCGGAAAGAAACUGGAAAUGGUUACCCUAUUCACAUUGACUUCACCCCUUUCUCAUUUAAAAAAAAAAAAAAAACUACUACAAAAAAACUAAAACAAACUAACCUUCCCAGUGCAGUUGGGCAAUGUCCCCCUUCAUGACUUGUAUCUAUCACUGAUUCGUUCUGACUACUGUGUGGCAGAACAUUCCUACAUUUCUAUUGGAUACUCCGCUAGUGAGAUUUAAAACAAGAUUACAAUUAGAAGGCUUCCUCGUGGCAUUUAAAACUAUGUUACAGUUGGAUAGGGAGAAUUUAAAACAUAAUUGCAAAUUGUGACGAAAUGUAAAAAAAUGGCUAGUCACACAAAAACACCCCUGUGAUUUAGGAUUUCAUUGUGGAAGUCAGCAAAGGAAAGAAGGUACAGCUUAAGUACUGUCGAGUUACUAUACAUAUUGUGACAGAAAAAAACAGCCAAGCAUUUUAGAAAGUAACUGAAAACAAUAAUUACAUACAGUAUAUCAAAAGCCCCCCCCCCCCAAAAAAACCCAAAAAAAAACACUAGUGAAAUCACCAGGGAGAUGUGGAAUAAGAGAGCAGCGAAUGAGAGUAGCUGUAUGAUUUGUCAAUUAGACUCCCUUUCUUCUGGAUCAAUAAUAAGUGAUUGACCAAUUUCCUUGAUAAAGUCAUGAUGACUAUAGCAUCUUGCUGGUCAAUCCCAAUGAAAUGUAGUUAACAGAUUUUCUGUUUUUUGUGUGUACUGUAUGUAUGGCUGUACAGGAGAUCGAAUCCAGUAUAGAAAUGGCUGCUAUUUUGUCUUUGGAUGCUAUUUCCCACUGAGGUAACAAUUAAAGGGUGACUUAUGCAAUUAAGUAGAGUCAGAUUGAUGUUACAAUCAUACAUGAUGUAAGUAAUGGGGAAUUUAAGCAAAUUUAAGCUUUUUGUUUGUAUUUUCCUCUGUUUUCCUGUCAACCCAAUCAAGCUGGGAUCUUGUCAGUUCAAAACCAGGGGUCCAAUCAUUCUUCAUGGACUUGAAAAGAAUAAAUUGUAUUGAUUUUGAAAUGUGUUAUAGACAGGAUGACAGCGUGGACCAGUCAUUUCACCUUUGGGACUUUAACUAAAAAACUGAAAUUCAAUUUAAAAUACAGUAAAAACGUAAUUGUGUGAACUUGACAAACAUCUCUGUUAUCCUGCCAUGAUGUGUGCAAUACCGUUCUGCACUGUUAUAGAGAAAAUGUGCAAACCAUCUCUCUUUUGCUGGUAGGCUUAAGUACAGUACAGUACAUGCAUUUUUGGGGAUUAUAUUAUUUCUUAUUGAGGCUUAUUAACAUGGAACUGUUGUAUUAUAAAAACAAUUUUCCAGUUAUUUCAUUAUCCAAACAAAUAGGUAUAUAAACGCUGCCUGGUCCUAAUUAGUGUGGAUAGAGGUUUCUCAGUAUUACCUAUAAUAGGCAUCUGACAACAGGGUCAGUAGGAUACAGAGCUAAAGGAACAGUCAUUGUUCUCCCCAUACAAGAAAGCAAGUGCACUGUUUACAUCUUGAAUCGUGUAUCUUUUGGGUUCAAUUCCAGGUUGAAUUCCUGUUUAUCGUUUUCCUGUAUUAUCAUUUUCCUUGGAGUUUCAAACAGGUGCUUCUGGUACACAGAUACAGACACAUUCUUGCAUAAAUGUGACUUAAUGCCAUUAAAACAGUUGUUAUAAUGCCCUAAUAUUAUAUUUAUUACCAGAAUGGCUAGAUUAAAAAAAAAAAAAAAAAAAUACAUUCUGUGUCACUAUUGUGUGGUGUUUUAGGGGUUGCAGCUUGUGCCUCAACUUCUGAGGAUGACCUCCUCAUUUUUAAGGAAAGGGAAACACAUAACAGUAUACACAAACACAUGCUGGUUGUAAUGCAAGUAUGAGGGCCUGUAUACCACAAUUACUUUAACUUCUGAAAAAGAAAAAAAAACAACUAAAUAUUAUCCUAAAAAGGUGAGAAUAAAGUACUUAUUUUGUGUGAAACCUAAAGGAUUUAGCUUUUUUUUUUAUUUCUGUGUACUGUAAAUCUCCCCGUGUACAGCAACUGAACAGAUCCCACUCCUUUAAACUGUUUGCUUAUACUGUACAAAGCUGUACUGAUUUGUAUGAUAAUGAAUUGUUUAAGCCCCUUCACUGUAAACAGUCAAGUGAUUGUUAUGAAUCUAAUUGCUGUAAACAAGUGCUUGGGGUUUGUAUAGUGUUAGACAGUGGAGGAGAAGAAGAAGGCUGACCGAAAUCAGAAUCAAAAUAUAUAUUUAUUUUGUCUAAUGAUAUGACACAGACAAAGUGAGGUACAGCAAGUGAGAUACAGCAGGUUGGUGUACUGAGACGUAAACAAACACACCCUCCCUCAAGCACAUACAUAACCACAUGCUUAUAUACUGUACACCACCAGAAUCUCAUGUUUCAGAUCUGUUGACUGUGUGUGUAUGUGUGGGAGAUGUUGUUAAGAAUCUGCUAGAGCAGGCCUUUUUCUGCAGGAUGUGCACUCUGCAUGUUUUCCAGGGGGCACAUAGAUACACACACUCACGCACUUAAUGUUUUAAACUAGCACAAAUGUCUAACUGAUUAGAGUGGUUUACCUGUGCCUGUUGAAAAACGCUGGAAGCCCCAACCAGUUGUAUUGUAUCCUGCAGUUACGGCUCAAGACUAGAGUCAUCUUCUCAGUGGUGGAAAAAUCUAGGGGAUGUGUUUUGUUUUGUUUUUUUCGUUCUGAAAAAAACAUGGUCUUCAGGCAAGGUGCUAAAACAAAGAACCACUCCAAUCCAGCUGUGAUUGUUGGGAAGUUAAAUGUUGUAAGGCUGUGCUGUCCUUCAGGCCAGCAGUAAUUGCACAGACUAGUGCAGGCUCCAGGCUUACAUGACUGCUAUUUCUUCGUUACUGCUUUGUUUUGUUAUUUUUAUGUGUUCCUAUAGUCACCUGUUUUUGUUCAGUAUUAAGAGACUAGCAUUAAGGAUACUAUAUAUUGUCUUCAUUUUACAUACUUUUAUUUCAUACCUGUUUAAUAUCAUAUGUGUGUUCUGUAAGAUUAUCUGUUGUUGUUUCUGCUUUGAUCAUUACUUGCCAUGCUUACUAACUAUACCAGCAAAAAGAUUCUCUGCAAAGAAUAGGCUGACUGUGGGGAAGCAUUUUGGCUUUGGUUAAAAAGCUGUCUCCAUUUGGGUUUCCCUGUAUGUUUUGCUGAUGGUUUCUGUUUUCUUGCCCUGUACUGUAUUAGACAUCUCUGGGUAUCGAUGUAUUCUGCUGCUGCUGAGUGUAUUUUAUUAUCAUGCAUGUGUGUGUGUGUAUAUGUGAAGUUGCACCUUUAGUUUUAUAUUUCCUUAUGAAGCCUUUUUUUAUUCUGUGUUGGGUUUUGAUUGCCCCUGCGCCUGGCAAAUGUUCUUAUGUUUUGGAUCUUUGUACUGAUUCCUUCUGUUGGCAUGCUUAUUCAUAUUUUUUCAUUGACUGUUUUCUUUUUUUUAAAGAGAAUGCCAGUUGUGUACAAAUAGGUGAACUUCAUCUAUAGUGGCAACACAAAAAUAUACAUUUUUGAUAUCAUAUUCUAAAUUUUGCCCCCCUCUCUCAAAAGACAGCCUUCUAUAUUAAGUGUUUCUCUUUCCUUGCCCAUUGCUAAUAUUACACAAAACUUGCCUUAUAUAUAACUAGGACUUCUGAUUUUCGUUUUUAACCGAUAAAACCAGAUAAAACACCCCCAAUACAAAAAAAAUGAAAUCGGUGGAUAGCCAAUAAACACCGGAAAACACCAGAAAAACUGGAAAUGGUUAAUCAAUUCAUGUUGACUUUACCCUAUUCCCAUUUAAAAAUAAAACCUACUACAAAAAUAAUAAUAAAUACAUUUCCCAGUGCUGCUGGGCAAUGUCCCGCCUUCCUGACUUGCAUCUAUCAAUGAUUCGUUCUCAAUACUUUAAACCUGCCCCAACUAUGACAUCACAUUCCUACAUUUCUACUGGAGACUCCGCUUGCGAGAUUUAAAAUUAGAUUAUAUUUAUCUUGUAUUUAUCUUGCUCUUAAUUGUAUUAUUACUUGUACUGUGAUUCUUGAAAUGUAUUUGUUUACGACUGUAAGUCGCCCUGGAUAAGGGCGUCUGCUAAGAAAUAAAUAAUAAUAAUAAUAAUAAUAACAGAUUACAAUCAGGAUGGAGGCUUGUUAGCGGGAUUUAAAGCUGUAUUACAGUUAAGGUACAGAGGAUUUUAAACAGAAUUCUGGCAAAAUGUACAAAAAUGCCUACACACAAAAACCCCAGAAGAAUGUUCCUGUGACCAUAGGGAUUUCAUUGUGGAAGACAGCAAUGGAAAGAAGGUACAACUUAAGUGUGCAAGUACUGUCGAGUUACUACUAUACAUAUUUUGACAGAAAAAAAAAAACGCUCAAGCAUUUUGGAAAGUACCCGAAAACACAAAUUUCAUACAGUGUAUCAAAAACAAAAGCCCUGAAAAAAAAAAAAAAACUAUUUACAUAAAACUCAAAAAUAGCUAAAAAUAAGCACCGAAAAGUACAAUUAAUAAAACCCGAAAAACAGAAGCCCUAUAUAUAACUAGACAGAUUGUUCAAUUCAUACUAGUUUUAAUUUUCACAAUAUGUCCUGAAACAUCGACCUAGGUCUGCCAUCUUAACUGAAAAUAUAUACUUUAAUUAUAAUACUUUAUUAGUUUAUCCAACCCCAUGCAACACCCCUAGGGGUGCUGUCUUUUUAAGGUUUACAGUAAUGUCAUAACUUGUGGUGGCAUUGUAGGGAUAAUUCUGGUCCAAUAUAAGUUGCAGUGAUGCAGACUGUAUUUUGUAGUGAUUAGGGUGCUUAAAAACAGGGUAGAAAAACACAUUUGAUAAAGCCUGUUUGGGUAUUAGUGACCUAUAUAGAUAGCCCAAGGAUGCCACCUACUCAUAUAUUGUUGGAUCUGGCAAAGUAACAUUAGUACAUUUUGUGCUACACAAGUCUGUCCUGGUUAGUGUCCUGGCCAUUCCAAGGCAGACCACAAACCACUGGACUAAUAGUGUUGGCAUAUGUUUCCUAAGGAAAGGCCCAAGUAGUACCCUUCUGAAUGGAUGUCAGGCUGUAUUAAUCCAGUAGGACAGUAGCGGGAAACCCCUGCUGUUUGGAGUUCUUGUCAUAACCUUUAAUUACAUGUGACCUGUCAGCAUUACAGAUGGCUAUGCAAUAGAAAUGGGGUUAACCCAUCAACCAUAUCCUUUAUCUCAGGAGGGGGUGGUAGGAGAUUCAUGCCAUCCACAAAGAAUACCAAUGCGUAGUGAAGAAUGGAAAGGAUAUGUGCAUCAAGAGUGCUGUGUACACUAAUCAGGUGCUAAAGUGAUCCGUCAGCCAGCUUAAUGAAUGCAUCAUUGCACAGCCCAUUUUUCUCUGUUACCUACAGUAUGAAAGAACAAUGGGAGUCCUGAGUACCUUCUCAACCUGCUGACCCGCUAUGUCCCUGCCCGUAAACUGAGGUCCUCCGACUCUGGCCUGCUUGUUAUCCCCAAGCAAAAGUGCGCCACACUUGGAGAAUGCUCGUUUAGCUUCAUGGCUGUUGCUACUAUUUCAUGUAUUAUGCUACUAUAUCAUGUAUUAUGCAUUGUUUUUUUUUCCUGUAUAUCAUGUAUUGUACAUUUCUCUGUAUCUAAAGUAUUAUGGAUUUUCUUGUUGUUACUGCAUCUUGUCAAGCACUUUGUGAUGGUGGUCCAGUAUGAAAGGCACUAUAUGAAAUAAAGAUUGAUAGAAAGAUUUGUUCCACAAUUUCUUACAGUAGCCAUUCUGUCUAAGUAUUGCAACAAUGACUACAAACACUUUCCCCCCCUCUUAUUAACAGCUAGAUAUAAGAAAAAUAAAUCUUUUAUGGCUCCACAAAAAAGUGUCUCUAACUUUUAAAAACAUAUU